AGAGGAAGUAAAAGUCGUAACAAGGUUUCCGUAGGUGAACCUGCGGAAGGAUCAUUAUUGAAUUUUGAAUGGGGUUGUAGCUGGCCUUUCAAAGGGCAUGUGCACGCCUCGCUUCAAUCCACUUACCCCUGUGAACACUCUGUAGGUCGGCUCAAGGGACAAAUUCUUAACGGGGUUUGUUUUGGGCCUUCCUAUGUUUUAUUACAAACGUUUAAAGUCUAAAGAGUGUACUCGCGUCUAACGCAUUAUAUACAACUUUCAGCAACGGAUCUCUUGGCUCUCGCAUCGAUGAAGAACGCAGCGAAAUGCGAUAAGUAAUGUGAAUUGCAGAAUUCAGUGAAUCAUCGAAUCUUUGAACGCACCUUGCGCUCCUUGGUAUUCCGAGGAGCAUGCCUGUUUGAGUGUCAUGGAAUUAUCAACUUGUUUAUCUUUGUAUGAACGCAGUUGGAUUUGGAGGCCAUUGCCGGAUUGUAAUGACUCGGCUCCUCUUGAAUGCAUUAGCUCGAACCUUUGCGGAUCAGCUUUUGGUGUGAUAAUUGUCUACGCCGCUAACUGAGACGCAUGAAUGGGAUUGGCUUACAGUCGUCCUUGAACGGACAAUUUAUUAUGACUUCUGACCUCAAAUCAGGUAGGAUUACCCGCUGAACUUAAGCAUAUC
rnacentral:rRNA from 1 species